GAUGAACGCUGGCGGCGUGCCUAAUACAUGCAAGUCGAGCGAACGGACGAGAAGCUUGCUUCUCUGAUGUUAGCGGCGGACGGGUGAGUAACACGUGGAUAACCUACCUAUAAGACUGGGAUAACUUCGGGAAACCGUAGCUAAUACCGGAUAAUAUUUUGAACCGCAUGGUUCAAAAGUGAAAGACGGUCUUGCUGUCACUUAUAGAUGGAUCCGCGCUGCAUUAGCUAGUUGGUAAGGUAACGGCUUACCAAGGCAACGAUGCAUAGCCGACCUGAGAGGGUGAUCGGCCACACUGGAACUGAGACACGGUCCAGACUCCUACGGGAGGCAGCAGUAGGGAAUCUUCCGCAAUGGGCGAAAGCCUGACGGAACAACGCCGCGUGAGUGAUGCAGGUCUUCGGAUCGUAAAACUCUGUUAUUAGGGAAGAACAUAUGUGUAAGUAACUGUGCACAUCUUGACGGUACCUAAUCAGAAAGCCACGGCUAACUACGUG
rnacentral:rRNA from 1 species